UUAAGAUCACACCACCUGGCAACAUGACUGUCUUAGUUUGUGAAAACUCUGAGGACCACACAGUGACAAAAUUGCCUAACAAUGUGUUCCUCAGAAGGUGUCCCCAUCUUUAAGUGACACAUGGCCAUAUUCCCAGAAGUGGAUCUUUAUGUCUCGGAAAGCAGUCACUCGUUGGAGGACUAAAGUUUAAACCCACUGGAACUCUAAGCUCUUUCUUUUUCUGCCAUUUACCUUAGUAAUGGGUUUAAUGGUGGCUUCCCAAUAGAUAUGUCCAUCUAGUACCUGUGGGUGUGACCUUAUUUGGAAAAAUGAUCUUUGCAGAUAUAAUUAAGAGUGUCAAGAAGUCAUCCUGGAUAUCUGGUGGACCUUAAAUCCGACGUCCAUUAAGAGGGGGUCAGCCAUAAGAGGAGGAGAGGACCAUGCAGAGAGGGACGAAGAGGUCAGGGAUCUAGUCACAAGCGAGGAGCACCUGGAGCCACCAAAGUCUGGGAGAGGGAAGGAAGGCUUCUUCCUCAGGGGCUUUAGGGGUGGCCUAGCCCUGCCAACCCCUUGAUUUCAGACUUCUGACCCCCUACUGAAUACCUACUGAACACUUAGUGGAUAGUUAACACUUCAGUUACUGGGAAUAAUAUGUCAGUAUGCCUGCUCCUCAGGUUCUAAAACUCAAAUCAGUAAAGAUAGAUAAUAAACUACAAGUGAAAAGUUUGGAGAGGACUGGGAUGUGGCUCAGUGGCUCUGCUAAGCGCUUGCUGUUAGAACAUAAAGGCAGGAAAGCUGACAGGAUUGACUUGUUGAAGGAGCUGCUUUUCUGGAGAAUCCAGGGAAGGGGAGGCAUCAUACAGGCUAAGACCUGAAUGAUCAGAGGGUGCCAGCCAUGCCCAGAUCUAGGGUAAGAACGUCCCAGGCAGAGGACCCGGCAUGUGCAAAGCCUGUGGGUUUGGAAAAAGCUAGGUGUGUUUGAGGAAUAGAAAAGAGGCCGAUGUGGCCAGAACUCGGUCAACGAGGAGAAGGAGAAACAUGAAGUUGGGCACAGGCCAUGAAAAUCACGGAAGCCGUGGGAUGAACCCGAAAUCACUCCUACACAAAUGGAAAGCCACUGGAGGUAACA
rnacentral:lncRNA from 1 species